rnacentral:rRNA from 1 species
CUUGAGUAGCGAUAAAACGUGUGAGAAACACGUUCGCCGUAAGCCCAAGGGUUCCUGGGUAAAGUUAAUCUUCCCAGGGUUAGUCGGUUCCUAAGCCGAGGCCGAAAGGCGUAGGUGAUGGAAAGCAGGUUAAUAUUCCUGCACCACCACGGAUGGUUUUCGUAGGAGGGACGGAGAAAGGUAGCUCAUCCCCAGAUUGGAUUGUGGGGUUCACACCCGUAGGAGGUUUCUGUUGGACCCGAUAGGGACAAACGCAGAAACACGACUCCGAGAGGUCAUGAGGAGGGCGCUAUGCGCCCACGAACUGAGUAAUCCUAGGCUCCCGAGAAAAGCUCCGACGGAGUUAACCCCUGUGGUGUCCGUACCGCAAACCGACUCAGGUGGGCGGGAAGAAUAUUCCAAGGCGCGUGAGAGAACCCCGGUUAAGGAACUCGGCAAAUUGACACCGUAACUUCGGGAGAAGGUGUGCCCUCGUUACGUGAACCGCGCACGCGGGGAGCGGAAGGGGGUUGCAGAGAAUCGGGGGUAGCGACUGUUUACCAAAAACACAGCAGCGUGCGAAGCCGCAAGGCGCUGUAUACGCUGUGACGCCUGCCCGGUGCUGGAAGAUUAAAUGAUGGGGUGCAAGCUCUUGAUUGAAGUCCCAGUAAACGGCGGCCGUAACUAUAACGGUCCUAAGGUAGCGAAAUUCCUUGUCGGGUAAGUUCCGACCUGCACGAAUGGAGUAACGACUUCCCCGCUGUCUCAACCAUAGACCCGGCGAAAUUGAAGUACGAGUAAAGAUGCUCGUUAGCUGCAGAAGGACGGAAAGACCCCGUGGACCUUUACUACAACUUGAUGUUGGGUUUUGGUAUGCGUUGUGUAGGAUAGGUGGGAGACUGGGAAGCAUUCACGCCAGUGAGUGUGGAGUCGUUGUUGAAAUACCACUCUGGUCACUCUGGACAUCUAACUUCGGCCCGUGAUCCGGGUCAGGGACAGUGCCUGAUGGGUAGUUUAACUGGGGCGGUUGCCUCCCAAAAUGUAACGGAGGCGCCCAAAGGUCCCCUCAGCCUGGUUGGCAAUCAGGUGUUGAGUGCAAGUGCACAAGGGAGCUUGACUGUGAGAGUGGCAGCUCGAGCAGGGACGAAAGUCGGGACUAGUGAUCCGGCACUGGCUUGUGGAAGCGGUGUCGCUCAACGGAUAAAAGGUACCUCGGGGAUAACAGGCUGAUCUUGCCCAAGAGUCCAUAUCGACGGCAUGGUUUGGCACCUCGAUGUCGGCUCGUCGCAUCCUGGGGCUGGAGUAGGUCCCAAGGGUUGGGCUGUUCGCCCAUUAAAGCGGUACGCGAGCUGGGUUCAGAACGUCGUGAGACAGUUCGGUCCCUAUCCGCUGCGCGCGUUGGAAAUUUGAGAAGGUCUGUCCUUAGUACGAGAGGACCGGGACGGACGAACCUCUGGUAUGUCAGUUGUACCGCCAGGUGCAUGGCUGAUUAGCUACGUUCGGGAUGGAUAACCGCUGAAAGCAUCUAAGCGGGAAGCCCACCUUAAGAUUAGAUUUCCCUAAAGAGCCGUUGUAGACUACGACGUUGAUAGGUUGGGUGUGGAAGCACAGCGAUGUGUGUAGCUAACCGCCGACCAAUACACCCCACAUCAAACC